UCUCCGUCUCCUAUAGUCUGGAACAAUCCACAUUUGUUUCAGUGACCUUGACAUUUGAAGAUUACAGGCUGUUUUGCAGAUUGUCCCUCAGUUUGGAUUUGUUGAUGCUUUUCUCAGGGCUUGGGUUCCAGUUACACAUUUCUGGCAGGAAUAUCGGUGGUGCUGUGCUCCUCCCACUACAUCCUAUUGAGGUCCAGGAUUGGACAUCGUCUCACCUGUAGUCAGUGGAACCCAGUGUGUGAUCAAGUCACCGAGCAAACAGCCACAGUCAGAUCCUGGGCCCCAGCAGGGGGGACCUGAGACACAGAAGCCAGUAGCCUCGACGAAGGCUCGAACUCCACAGCUUCACCCCAAGGCAGAAGACUAGCCACUGCAUAGGCAGGAGGACUGCAGAGGCCUCCCACGUUCCUCACCCCACAGCAUCCGGAGUGUUGCGUUGCUUGCUCUUGUCGUAAAUGUAUCUGCCUUCAAACACAUUUUUUUUUCUCAUUAAACUUCAAACACAUUUUGAUGAGAGUAUUACCCAAGUGCACUGUGUACUAAGAAAUGAGUAAGAAUGAUUACCUGUCUCCUCCUGACCCUCAUGUCCAGGGUUUGGAUUCUUCUCGGUUCAUCCAGGAGCUAUUAAAAUUAUGAAGC